rnacentral:rRNA from 1 species
AGAUCAAAUUGUUGGUCGUGCCUUGGUACGCACUGGCAUUAUUGGUUUCUCCCUUCUGAAGAACCAUGAUGUCAUUAAUUUGGUGUCAUGGGGAAUCAGGACUGUUACUUUGAAAAAAUUAGAGUGUUUAAAGCAGGCUCACGCUUGAAUACAUUAGCAUGGAAUAAUGAAAUAGGACGUUUGAUUCUAUUUUGUUGGUUUCUAGGAUCGACGUA